rnacentral:lncRNA from 10 species
CUGGUCUGAGUAUGGAGGUGGAUUUGGCAGAUGCGGGAUCGAGGCCAUCAAGCUACUGAUGGUCUUACGAAUGGAACCCCAAAUGAGCUCAACUAACAACUUCUACCGAGGACCCCCUGGACCAACCCACUGACCCUUUGGCUGGCCUAGAGAGUUCCCCUCUGGAGGACACUAACACUGCAGGGCCCCUUCUUCGCCCCUAUCCAGCAGUUACAGUCCUGAAGACUCCAGAACAAUAAUACUAUAUUACAAGAUUACUAGAAUGACAGGAGCAUAUCCUAGAAGGGGCACUAGCAGACUCGCUCACACUAGGAUGGAGCCCUGGGGACCAGGACUUGGGUAGGAUGUUUGCCAAGAGUCAACACUGGUGGACUUCCUGAGCCCUGAGAAGCCGUUUGAAUGAGGAUAAAGGCACAAACCCUUCACGUAUGAAGCACUUACUAUGGAGGUGAUGUUGUACUAACCUCCUAUGACUUCUUUACAACAAUCUAGAGGCGUAGGUAUUAUUUAGUAUUCCCAGUUUUCAGAUGCAGCAAGUUAGGUAAUUCAUUCUAGGUUGCACAGCUUUAUAGAGUGGAGUUGGAUUCAAAUUCAGGUUUCAUUUUUUUUUUCAUGGAAAUUAGAAUGAUCCUCAUUGUAAACAACAUAUAGGAACAUAUUUCUUAAACUCAAAUCUCUGAAUAAUUCUCACAAAAUGCCACUCGAAAGAGUUUUGUAGUUUAAGAAUAUGCUUCCAUAUAUUUGCUUAUAAUGUGAACUUUUCCCAGACAUUAUAUAAAGGGAGGCAAAUGAAGAAUUAAAUAGAACUUGGUGCUGCACAGGAAGACAGGCAUAUGUAGUAUUCUUGGACCUCUGCCGAGCUGCCUCCCAAAGUCACAAGAAUUCUUAGUCAAAAAUUGUAGACUUUCUGGAUGCUCAGGGAGUUAACCUAAAUGAAACCUGAACAUUUUAUUCCAUAAAGGCAUAAAAGCAAGUGAAUGAAAUGGGUCUGCACAGUUCUGGACCUGCAAGCACAAAAACAUGCUGCCUAGCACUUAGAAUUGACUUACCUCCUACUGGUGCAAGAAAAAGGGUUCCUUAUAGCAUUGCUUCUAAAAGCAAUAUCCUAUAGGCCAUUGUGACCUAAGGGAAGAGAAGUAGAGAGUCUGCUGUCUUCCAUGUGGCAAAAUGAGAUCUCCGAGUUACUUUCAGCAAGAGAAUGGUUACAGAAGCUUUCGCUCACAAUUGGCUACCGUUCAGCAAAAGUUUCCAGAAAAUAUCUUAAAGGAGGCAAAGAAAAUAGCCUAAGAAAACAGUGGGAAAUACAUCGUGACGUGGCAAACUGCACUCACGACUCAAUAACUUUUUAGCCUUUCCUCAAGGCAAAUAGUUCAAAAGAUUGCUUGCUAUUAUUUGUAGCUGCUGGGAUGUAGUUUCCCGCUUUGUGUGUCAUCACAGGUAGCGAUUGCCAAGAGGGAGAGUUAAAUAAAAUAACUUGUCAAAAGCUAAUGCAUGACUCAAGCAUGGAAAGUUCUAGGGAGUGAAAUUCCAGAAACAGAAAAUCUUCCCUUAGGGAAGACAUUUCCCAUCAGAUUUGCAGAGAUGUGACCCAAUAUUGAGUGUCUAAUAUAUGCUAGGUGCUUUAUAAAUAAAAUUUAACCCUUUUAAUUUAAUCUCACAACGGCCAUGGGAAUUACCCAUUAUCAUCACUUUACAUGUGAGAAAGCUAGGCUCAGAGGGUUUUACAAAAUUGCCAAGGUCACAGAGCCAGUUAAGUUACAGACAUGUUUUCUGCUCGUUUGUUUUUUUUAUUUUAAAACUUGUUUUGAGGUAUAAUGCUCAUUUAAUAAAGUCUAUAAACUGCACUAGUCUUAAAUGUACAACGAGUGAAUUUCUACAUGUGUAUAUGCUCAAGUAGUCACCAUCUUGUUCAAGAGUUAGAGGAGUAUUUUCACAUUGCAGGAAGUUCCUUCUUGCCCUUUUUUUAUUCAAAAUGCACACAAGAGGUACCCUCUAGUCUACUUCUAUAAACAUGGAUUAAUAAACAUGGAUUAAUU